GGAUUAGGCAUGCAAGUCGAACGGUAUGGUGCUUUCGGGCAUCAGAGAGUGGCGAACGGGUGAGUAACACGUAGGUGAUCUACCCUCAAGACGGGGACAACCCAGGGAAACUUGGGCUAAUACCGGAUGAUAGCAGCAGUGAUGUUGUUUAAAAGAUGGCUUUCGGGCUGUCGUUUGGGGAUGAGCCUGCGUCCUAUUAGUUAGUUGGUGUGGUAAUGGCAUACCAAGGCGAUGAUAGGUAGGCGGCCUUAACGGGUGGUCGCCCACACUGGGAUUGAGAUACGGCCCAGACUCCUACGGGAGGCAGCAGUCGAGAAUAGUCUACAAUGGACGAAAGUCUGAUAGUGCGACGCCGCGUGAACGAAGAAGCCCUUCGGGGUGUAAAGUUCUUUUAUAUGUGAGCAAUGCUUCUUAGGUGAAUAGUCUGAGGAGAGAGAUAUUAGCAUAUGAAUAAGCAACGGCUAACUCCGUGCCAGCAGCCGCGGUAAUA
rnacentral:rRNA from 1 species